rnacentral:misc_RNA from 1 species
UGAGCUUGUGUGUUGAGGCACCCCCUACCUCACCGCCAUAUCUCCUAGCGCACGCGCAAUGAACUCUGCCCCGCGUGCGCCGAUGCGGACGUUGGCCGCCAAAGGUGUCGCUGGGCCGCCGCCACCGUCGACGCAGGAGCCGAUGCCCGGUGGAAUGCCUGGGAUGCCGUUUUCUCCUUUGGGCGCCAACGCCCCGGACAUGACGCAGCUGAUGCAGUACCUUCCCACCAUCAUGAAGGUGGCGAGUCAGAUUCCUGGCAUCCUUGUCGGGUUCCUUGUGACGAUGGUGUACAUGCUCGUGGUGGUGUGCCGCAGAGGCUUCACGGAGACCGUGUCGCCGGUCGCCGGCUUCCACAUCUUUGCAUUGUUCCUGCUUCGCGAGCUGAUCGAGCCCUGGCGCCAAGGUCAGGCGCGCGCGCAGGCGGCACGCGCUCGCGAGGUGCAGCGGCGCUCCUUUACAACGGACAUCGCCAUGCAGUAUCGUGAGAAGCUUGACUGAUUGGUCGAGAGGAGGGUGUGCGUGUGCUUGUCUGGGCUGUGUGCUCGUGAGUCCGCUGUGAGUCUGUUGUGUGUCUGUGGGCGCACAAGGGGGUGCGAUGUGAGCAAGACGCACGAAGCGUCUAUGCGACUGAUUGGCCCCCCACACCACCCCACUUCACCGAAGGUGCGGCAGCCUCCACGCGGACGGCACCUUCUUCCGCAGAAGACACGACUACCGAAAGCGCCGGCAUCACCUCAUGAAUUGGAGGCUGGCGAAUGUGUGCGCUGUGGUGUGGUGUGGGGUGGGUUGGUGCUGCUCCUUGUGCACCCCUUCCCGCAAACCCGACCGCGGCGCUCACCAUCCCUAGCUCAUACGCGCCGCAGGAGCGCAUGUCUUUCGAGGCACGCUUCGUUUUUCUCGCUCGCCCCCGUCUUUCCUCUGUCUUUGCACUGUCGCAUGCAAUUUUGGGAGGCCACCGACACCGGCGGGGGGGGGGUCAGUGCCGCAGCGCGCAUGGGUGUGCCCACGAAACGCCUAACCAUCACCCACAUGGCGCUUACCUUCGCAUCCCUCGUUCUCCUUCACUCGCGCAGCUGGGUUGGGCGAGAGCGACUCUGCCCCGCACUAAGAAACAAGCGUGCGUUGGCUUUGUCCUGGCGGUGCUACGGGAGCUGGUGUUCACUCUAUCCCCGGGGUGGUGCUUGGAUGUGCUUCUCCCUCGCCUUUUCCGGUCGUGGUCCAAACACCCAUCAUGACUCGUAAUCGCGUUUCCUCUCUCACCUCCCUUGUCUUCUUGCGAACGUGCUCUGCCGUCGUGUAUUGUGCGAGGGAAGGGAAGGAGGAGGGCCUCCGCUGCUUCUGUCGGGCGGCUUCCGGCCGUGGCACACGGGUGCAUAUGUGCGCGUGCAGCUUAGCGCAUCUCUUCUCGUUCUCGCUCUCGUGUGCUGGAUCGGAUGCCAACUCGGUGUUCUACCUUGUCUGCGAAUUCAAGUCUGCCCCCUCCCCCCCCCUGACCAGCCUACCACCCACCACAACCCCCUAUCAUCAAGGCCGCCACCGGGUGAGACAUGGCGGAUAAGGAAAGGCUGGGCCCUGCAUUUUCGUAGACGUCAUCAAGAGG